ensembl:lncRNA
CACAUUUAUAUAUAGUUAAUCUAUAUUUAUAUAUGAGAUAUAAUAUAAAUAUGCUAUAUAAAAUGUAGGAAUAAUAUACUGUAUUUAUACCGAAUGCAUUUCUUAAGAAAAACAUGUGCUGCCUCUUUCUUAGCCAAGACACCUAGGGGAAAGUCUCAAAACCUAGGUAUAAAGUUGAAAAAGAAAAGAAAACCUAAAGGCAAAACAAACCCAGGAAGAGAAGCAAGACAGAAAAAUGUAGAAAGCUGGGAAGGAGAUGGCCUCUGAUUCUGCACUCAACCUGACUCAUGCUCAGUGGGGCAUGCGUUCGGAGCUGUUUGUUACAGGGCGAUGGAGCUGCUGUGAUUCAUCCUCCUUCUCUUGCUGGGAAUCCAUGUGACCAAAUGGCCUCUAUGAAAAAGCCGCAUGACCUUGACCUUUCCCCACGGGCCACACAGAUGCGCAUGUGGCGAGGAGCCAAGGCAAGUCGGGGACAGUUGGGUGCUUGUGGAGUCAAGCCAUGGUGUCCAAAUCCAGUUAAUCAAGCUGCCCAGGUCCAGCUCCCUGACUUUAGUCCGCAGCAGGUAUAACACCCACCAACAGAUGAGAAGUUGCAGAAGUAACUCAGUCAUAAACAUCUUGUCUCUGAAAAGAGAAAAUACCUAUAAAAGUGCCUGGCUCAUGUUAGGGCCUUAAUGGAUGUUUGUGGAAAGUAUUGUUGUUGGAAUGAACCCAGCCAUGAAAGAUCUUGUCUCCCUUCCUGACUCUUAGGUAGUUAGUCAAUUCAGCUGGAGGAAAAAGAAAAAAGAGAGCUGAACUACUUUUUAGACAUAAUAAUAAUUUCUAUUUUCGGUGGUGUUUUCCAGUUUGUAGAGUGCUCCUACAUCAAUAGCGCUUUUGAUUUUUGAGCAGCACUGCAGAGGCAGAGAAUGGUAGAGAGAGAACUCAGAGAUGGCCGGUGCUUUUCAAGGUCGCACGGUCAAGGCAGAGAAUGAAAUCCAAAUUCAGGCUUCUUCUCAAGAAACUGGAGCUGAAGUUUCUUGGCCUCGUUGGUCAGUUUCAUUUUUCAACAUUUCAAAGGAUUAGACUGAUGUUCUAAUUUAAUCAAAAGAAGAUUGGAGUUUGAAACAUCACAUAUGGGGCUUGGCCAACCAAGCCACAAUUCCUAAACCAAAACGAAGGGAUAAACUAAGCCUAAGAGCAGAGAACCCAGUGUUUGAGGGAGAAGAUGGUGAAGGGUGCAGUUUGGAACCACAUUCUUGCUUCAGCAGUUUCAUCCUCUGAACACAGGGGUGAUGUUACUAUUAUAGGAGAUUGUAGUAAGGACUUGAAGGGUUACUGCAUUCUCAGUGUCUAGCACAGUGCUUGGCACAGAGUAGGUGAUUAUUAAAAGCAAUUUUUCUAUUGCUCAUUUCCUUCUGUUUCUCUUUCUCUCAUCCUCUUGGCAUCAUUGUCUUCAUUCUCAUUUGCUCAGGAAAGUACAAGCGUUCUCUCACAAGAACACAGGACUUAGACCACUCAUGGGAUCCAAACAGAGGCUCAGAGAUUCAGAAGGUGGACUGCUGAGAACCAGCUGGGGACCCCGUAAGCUCCAGGGCUCAGGAAGUCUGAAUGGAAAGGUGGGAUUUUUCACAUCCCCUCCCCUUACCAGACCAGAUCAGAAAGAUGACGGAGGAGACUCCUAAGAAAGCUGUGUGUGUGUUGAUCACUCAGUUCUGUCCGACUCUAUGCGACCCCAUGGACUUCAGCCCUCCAGGCUUUUCUGUCCAUGGGAUUCUCCAGGCAAGAAUACUGGAGUAGGUUGCCGUUCCCUUUCGCCAGGGGAUCUUCCUGACCCAGGGAUCGAACCCAGGUCUCCUGCACUGUAGGCAGAUUCUUUACCAUCUGAGCUACUAGGGAAAUCAAGAAAACUCUAAGUACAGAUAAAAUAAUAAAGUUGUGUUUUUCAAAUCAGAGUCAGCUGGAAGGUAUCUUAAGAUACAGCUUGCUGCCCCGUCCUUCUAAUGUUUCUGAUUCAGUGGGUCUGGGCGGGCCCUCCCCGGAGAAUUUGCAUGUCUCUCGGGUUCCCAGGUGCGGCUCCUCUCUGGGCUGGGGCAGGCUCUUACAGAACCAGCACGUGGUGGCAGUUGUUAUGAAUUCUUGACCCGUGAAAGAAAAGGUGAGGGGAGGAAGAGCGUCAGGUGCACUCUGGCUUCCUCCUCACCGCAGCAGGUGUUCUGACCUGGUUCCCCUGUGGGCUCGGACCCACCCAGAGGCGGACACAGGGCUUGGAGCCCUGGCGUGGGGAGGGGCGGAGGGGUCAGCUGCUGUCUCUUCUGUUAAUCUCGGGUGUGGACAGACCCUUUGAAGAGCACCCGAUCCCCGCUCCGCUUUACCGCCAAGAAUUAGGGAUGCGCAGGACGGGUUAGAAUGACCACUUAUAAACAGCAACAGUGUAGGGGUAGUUUUUCUUUUUUCUGGAACAUGUGCCAAUGGAAAAACAUGUGCUGAUCAUGUUAAAUCUCUUGCCUGGUGCUUUGGCUUCUUUCUUCCAGGCUUGAGAGUGGUUGUGAUCACCAGGUUACACCUUCUUACUUCCUAGGAUCCUUCUGAACUAGGCAUGCACCUUCAGCUGGGGUAAGUUGAGGUGGUGUCAGUUCACUUUCCACCCUGGAUAAACUUCUUUGCAGUCUUAGCAAUGGGGUCGAUAAAGCAGGAAGGUCCUUCCUCCCCACCGCCUUCCUUCCUCCCCUCCCCCGAUUAAGCUACACUGUUCAUUCAUUGUUUUCUAAAUGCUCUGGUGGUGGGGAGAGAGACUAAGUUGAAUAUAAGGAGAAGUAAAGUGUUACUCAAGCAUACAGUGUGAAGUGGGGGUGAGCGUGGCUGGGGCGGGGAAGUUUCUCUUGUCUUGUUGUUCAGUUGCUCAUUCGUGUCUGACUCUUUGCAACCCCAUGGACUGCAGCACGCUAGACCUCCCUGUCCUUCGCCAUCUCCCGGAGCUUGCUCAAACUCAUGUCCACUGAGUCAGUGAUGUUAUCUAAGCAUCUUAUCCCCUGUCAUUCUCUUCUCCUCCUGCCUUCAAUCUUUCCCAGCAUCAGGGUCUUUUCCAAGGAGUUGGCUCUUUGCCUCAGGUGGCCAACAUAUUUGAAUAUCAGCAUCAGUCCUUCCAUUGAAUAUUCAGGGUUGAUUUUCUUUAGGAUCGACUGGUUUGAUCUUCUCUUAUCUGGUGCUUCCUAACUCUGGCCCCAUCUAAGAAUCACCUUGUAGCUUGUACAAACAUUUCUAUUCAGGAUGUGAGAUUCUGAUUUAAAUUCACCUGGGAUGGGACCCUUGCUGUUGGAAAAUUUCAGUUUCUUCAGGUGAUCUUAGUGUGUGGUCAAGCAAGAGAUUUGCUUCUCUAAACCAAUUUUCCUAAAAAACAUCUGGGGUGCUGAGCACAGUUGCAUUAUCAUGGGACUUCCUUUGAACAACCACAAGCCUCAGUGAAGUGGCCUGGAGGCUGCCGCCUAUGGGAUGGCUUAGAAGUCAAUGCCCCAGCCCAAGUUUAGACAGUUGUACCUAUCAACCAUUACCCAGCUCUUACUCCAGGACUCCGAACACUUUUUGUGGAACAGACUUUGCUGUGUCCGCCCAAGGAUGCAUUUGCUUACUGGCAGUAAGCAGGGGGCUGGCAACACCAUCGCUGAUCCUGCUGAGACACCUGCAUUGGCAGGCAGGUUCUUUACCACUGAGCCACCAGGGAAGCCCCAAGUGUGAUUAGGGAGAAUACAGUUUGGUGCUUGGAUUUUCAAGAAGUCAGCUUUUGGAGUCAGUCUCUAAGUUUUUCCAUGCAGAAAAUUUUACCUUUCAUCAAGGUUCCUGGUGCCACCAUCCUCUGCACAGCAUCCUGUACCUGUAGAUUCUGCAGAAGCUCCUGCUUCAUUUCCUGCUGGAAUGGAAUGAUUCAGGAUCCCCCACUGUCCAUCAUCCCUGAGGGGGAGCAGUACUGAAGAAGAGCUUCUCAUGUUCCCCUUGACUCACCCCUAUGGACUUUGCUGGACUAAAAGAAGGUUGGCAUUCAUGCACUGUAAUUUCAUUGACACCAAAAAAAGCCUUUCCUUCACUCCCCUCACUUCCCCCAAACCCCAAGAAAACAAAAACAAACCCUCCCCUUUGUGUUAACCUGCUGAUAUACAACUCUUGGGGUUUUGUUCUUUUAAAUCAUCUAAAUGCAAAUUUUCUUAGAAGUCAUGAUAUUUAGAGCCUGAAAUUUGUCUGUCUGAACAAAUAAAAGAGUCUCAAUCUCCCCUCUGAGGUCCCUGUGUGAGGGAGGGCCUUAUAUAAUUGCUGAGGAGAAAAAGCAGCCCAGACUCUACUUAACCUACUUCUACAGUUUUGUUUUGAGCCCUUUUCGAGAGAGAGUGCAAGACCAGUUUCUCAUCAAACCCACAAAACUCAUAUUCUCAGACUUGGAGUUUUUUCUGUCCCCACCCCUACCUCACCCCACUUCCUCCCCACCUCUGUACUCCACCGUGGCAGGAAGGAAAGAUGGGACCUUUGCUGAGGGCUCAGGAGUGUGGUCUCAGAACCAGGGGGCCUGCCUUUCCAUCUAAGCGCUGACCCUCUCCAGCCAUGUGACCUUGGACAAGACACAUACUCUGUCUGGGCCUCAGUUUCCUCAUUUAUAUAUUUUGGGAACAAAAAUAGUUCUUAUUUCAUAGGAUUCGUUAAAGGUUUAAGAAUUAGUGCAUACAAAACGCUUAGAACUGUACUCAGAACCUAGAAAGCAUCAUCCACGUAGUCAGAUAACAGAGAGGAAAGCCCUGGUGUUGGCAUCAAGCCACCAGGGUCCGUACCCUGGUGCUGCUGCUUAUGACUGUGACCUUCAGCUAGAAACCCAAACCUCUCCGUCUCAGUUUGCUCCUUUGUAAAAGCAGAAUGUGUGCUAAGUCGCUACAGUUGUGUCUGACUCUGUGCAGCUCUAUGGCUUGUAGCCCACCAGACUCCUCCGUCCAUGGGAUUUUCCAGGCAAGAAUACUGGAGUAGCUUGCCAUUUGCUUCUCCAGGGGAUCUUUCCAACCCAGUAGACGAACCUGUGUCUCUUAUGCCUCCUGCAUUGGCAGGCAGGUCCUUUACCACUAGCGCCAUCUAGGAAGCCCGUAAAGGAGGAUAAUAGUAACCGUAUCAGGGGAUUGUUGAGAAGUUUAAAUGAGUUAAUAUUACAAAGCUUUUCAAUCAAACACACCAGGCACCAGUGAGCACUCAGUGUAAUUAUUAUUUUACUCUAUAGCAUGUUGACAUUGUACAAGGU